rnacentral:rRNA from 1 species
AACGAACGCUGGCGGCAAGCCUAACACAUGCAAGUCGAACGAGACCUUCGGGUCUAGUGGCGCACGGGUGCGUAACGCGUGGGAACCUGCCCUUAGGUUCGGAAUAACUCCCCGAAAGGGGUGCUAAUACCGGAUAAUGUCUUCGGACCAAAGAUUUAUCGCCGUUGGAUGGGCCCGCGUUGGAUUAGCUAGUUGGUAGGGUAAAAGCCUACAAUGGCGACGAUCCAUAGCUGGUCAGAGAGGAUGAUCAGCCACACUGGGACUGAGACACGGCCCAGACUACUACGGGAGGCAGCAGUGGGGAAUAUUGGACUGUGCACGAAGGCAUGAUCCAGCAAUGCCGCGUGAGUGAUGAAGGCCUUAGGGUUGUAAAGCUCUUUUACCCGCGAUGAUAAUGACAUUACCGGGAGAAUAAGCUCCGGCUAACUCCGUG